GGCCCUUUAGCACAAUGCAUAGCGCGUUGGACUUCUAAUCCAAAGGUCGUGGGUUCGGAUCCCACCUCGAAUGGCCU